CACUUCCCAAGACACUCGUUAGGAGUAGGCACAGCUGGCCAGCCUUCGCGAAUUAAGGCUCCACUGCCCUGCUGUGGCCCCUUUCGUACCCAGAAGCCUGGGUGGCACACCUGGAGCUUGUAUCCCUGCCCGCUGUCAGGCCUCGGACAAGUUAUAUGACCUCUGUAGACCUGUGGGCGCCCAGUUUCGUUUGCGAAAGAGGGUUCCCCUACCCUCAUGCCGUUUGAACUGGGGGUCUGGUUUGCCAUGAAUGGAGUGAAUGAACCAGGCGGCUACUCAGACUCCCAGCCACUCGUCCGGGAGAGCGCGUGCCCCUGUCCGCACCUAGAAGCUGAGCUCUGAGCUCCGUUGCAGCCUCAGAGAACAGGCCAGAGGAGGACGAAGUCAGAUGACUCUCAUUUGCCUACCGACCACUACAGGACCCCAGGAAGCCUGGGGCUGCUGCUAAGGGUCUUGCCACCCGAGGAGCGAGACACAAAGCAAUGAAGCCAACGGUUAGAAGGAACAAGAGCAAAUAUCACUGGGCCACCUGGAACCAGCUGCGCCUGAAGCUGCGAGAUCUAUCCUACAUUUUCUAGUGGUCUGAAUAACAACGUUUUCUCUUCUGCUCAA